rnacentral:tRNA from 1 species
UAGGAAAUAGCAUAACAAGUGUGUUUUGUUUACAACAAAAAGGUGGUUGGUUCGAACCUUUCUUUA